UAGGGAAUCUUCGGCAAUGGACGGAAGUCUGACCGAGCAACGCCGCGUGAGUGAAGAAGGUUUUCGGAUCGUAAAGCUCUGUUGUAAGAGAAGAACGAGUGUGAGAGUGGAAAGUUCACACUGUGACGGUAUCUUACCAGAAAGGGACGGCUAACUACGUGCCAGCAGCCGCGGUAAUACGUAGGUCCCGAGCGUUGUCCGGAUUUAUUGGGCGUAAAGCGAGCGCAGGCGGUUAGAUAAGUCUGAAGUUAAAGGCUGUGGCUUAACCAUAGUACGCUUUGGAAACUGUUUAACUUGAGUGCAAGAGGGGAGAGUGGAAUUCCAUGUGUAGCGGUGAAAUGCGUAGAUAUAUGGAGGAACACCGGUGGCGAAAGCGGCUCUCUGGCUUGUAACUGACGCUGAGGCUCGAAAGCGUGGGGAGCAAACAGGAUUAGAUACCCUGGUAGUCCACGCCGUAAACGAUGAGUGCUAGGUGUUAGACCCUUUCCGGGGUUUAGUGCCGUAGCUAACGCAUUUAAGCACUCCGCUCUGGGGAGUACGACCGCAAGGUUUGAAACUC
rnacentral:rRNA from 1 species